rnacentral:misc_RNA from 1 species
GGAAGUAAAAGUCGUAAUAAGGUUUCCGUAGGUGAACCUGCGGAAGGAUCAUUCAUAAUAAAGUGUUUUAUGGCACUUUUUAAAAUUCCAUAUCCACCUUGUGUGCAAUGUUAGAUCUCGUCAAUCUUGGCGAGAUUUUUAUACAUCAACUCAUUCUUUAACUAAUUUGUCUGAAAAAUAUUAUGAAUACUUAAUUCAAAAUACAACUUUCAACAACGGAUCUCUUGGCUCUC